GAUGAACGCUGGCGGCGUGCUUAACACAUGCAAGUCGAACGAACCUUCGGGUUAGUGGCGGACGGGUGAGUAACGCGUGGGAAUCUGCCCUCAGGAGGGGGAUAACGGUUGGAAACGGCCGCUAAUACCCCAUAUGCCGAGAGGUGAAAUGAAUUUCGCCUGAGGAUGAGCCCGCGUCCGAUUAGCUAGUUGGUGAGGUAAGAGCUCACCAAGGCAUCGAUCAGUAGCUGGUCUGAGAGGAUGAUCAGCCACACUGGGACUGAGACACGGCCCAGACUCCUACGGGAGGCAGCAGUGGGGAAUUUUCCGCAAUGGGCGAAAGCCUGACGGAGCAAACGCCGCGUGAGGGAUGAAGGCCUCUGGGCUGUAAACC
rnacentral:rRNA from 1 species